GACGAACGCUGGCGGCGUGCCUAAUACAUGCAAGUCGAACGCAGUGGGGACGGGUGAGUAACACGUGGGUAACCUCCCAUCAGAGGGGAUAACACUUGGAAACAGGUGCUAAACCGAUACUGAUGGAUGGACCCGCGGUGCAUUAGCUAGUUGGUGAGGUAACGGCGAAACAAGGCCACGAUGCCUAGCCGACCGGAGAGGGUGAUCGGCCAGACGGGGACUGAUAAACAGCCCAGACUCUUACGGGAGGCAACAGAUGGUAAUAUUCGGCAAUGGACGCAUGACUGACCGAACAAAGCCGCGUGAGUAAAGAAGGUUUUCAGAUCGUAAAGCUCUGUUGUUAGAGAAGCGGUAUCUAACCAGAGAGCCACGACUAACUACGGGCCAGCAGCCGCGGUAAUAC
rnacentral:rRNA from 1 species